rnacentral:misc_RNA from 1 species
GUUUGAAUAAUCGAUCUUGCUUAUAAUUUUGGUUUGCUUCCUUGUAGCUUUAUUGCCAUUUCUACGUUUUAAUUUUGCUGUUUCUUUCACUAUUACCUCAAUUAUCCUUAAAAGGAACUUUUCUUGUGUUCUCACCAGCAAUUAUAUUAGUGAGUAAGUUUUAUAAUAUGGUAUGCCACCUUGAUUUUUAUAAUUAAAUUAUUCAGCACAUAGUGCUAAUCCACUCAUUCAAGCCCAAAGGGUUUUUGCAUGAAGGGAUUUACUUGGGAAUGUAGUGUAGAAUGAAAUAGACUCUAGUCUUUUGGCUUGAAGGGCAUGUUAAAGAGAAUGUUAUAUCACUUCUAUUUUUAGAAGUUUAAUUUUUUAGGUUGAUU